rnacentral:misc_RNA from 1 species
GCCUUUCAGGUUGCCGGUCAGCUGAAAUACAUUCACGCUUUGGGGGCUGCUUUCCUUUCAAGGAGAGGCGAGUUCCGAUUUGGUAGGUGACCUUUGCCGGUUACAUGCCUUCGUUGCCCGCUAAGCUUCCCAAUAAGUGUUGUGCAGGACGCCUUUUGGCUUUCGACCUGAGGUCAGGCAAGAACACCCGCUGAACUUAA